rnacentral:rRNA from 1 species
UACUAGAGUAGCACUCGCAUAUCAAUAAGCGGAGGAAAAGAAACUAACAAGGAUUCCCCUAGUAACGGCGAGUGAAGCGGGAAGAGCUCAAAUUUGAAAUCUUAAAGGGUUUCCCUUUACGAAUUGUAGUUUAAAGAAGUGUUUUCUGUCGAGGUUUGGGUAAAAGUUCUUUGGAAUAGGACAUCAUAGAGGGUGAGAAUCCCGUAUUUGACCUUUACUUUCAACUUUGUGAUACACUUUCAAAGAGUCGGAUUGUUUGGGAAUGCAGUCCAAAAUGGGUGGUAAAUUUCAUCUAAAGCUAAAUAUUGGCGAGAGACCGAUAGCGAACAAGUACCGUGAGGGAAAGAUGAAAAGAACUUUGAAAAGAGAGUUAAACAGUACGUGAAAUUGUCAAAAGGGAAGCGUUUGACGCCAGUGUUGUUUUUCUGAAAAUCAAUUAAAGAACUGUUUAUGCUAAGCUGUUUAGACUUUAUCAGCUAUCUGUUUAGUUUUGAGCUUUUCUUUAAUGCACUUUUCAGUUAACAAGUCAACAUCAAUUUCUUUUGCUGUAAAAAAGCUUGAGGAAGGUGGCUUGAGAUUCGUCUUAAGUGUUUAUAGCCUCUUGCCUAUGCAGUCGGGGAGAUUGAGGUCUGCAGCGUAGAUCCUUCGGGGCUAAAUGCAUUUGUGCUAAGUUAUAGCAUUUUAUAGACAACUUGUUGACUAUGAUUUGUCUUGUAGCUUACUCGCUUAUGUUAUUUAUACCUACGCUUAGGAUGUUGAGCGCAUGUCUCUCUCU